CUGAGACAGCUGAAGGGUUUGCUGCUGCUGACUUAGCUCCUAUCUGAACAGGCGCAUCUGAGCAGCUUCACUGUGAGCUUCCUGGAGAACAGAACUGCCCACCUGCCUGCCUAGAUGAACCGCUAUGCUCCAAUGCCAGCGUAGGACUCUGAAUGUACGAAAAGGGGGUUGAGGGUCUUCUGAACUAGCAGGAAAAAUGGAAAUAACAUUACUCUCUGAGAAGCUGCUGGCAUUAUAUAUUCUCCACUUAAAAUGCUAAUCGAUGGGAUCCCCACCCCCGCCCCACCCCAGUCUCAGGCGAUGACUCCAUCAACAAUUCCACAAGGCAUGAAGCAAAGGAGAUCAAGGCCCAAGAAGGGAAAAUAGUUUUCCCAAGGUUAUCCUGCUGGUUACUGGCAGAAUUAAGACUGAAAAUGGGUUCCUUCAGGCUCGAUGCACUGCAUCUUGCCUCAUGAGGCACAUCCCCUUGGGGACGACUCAGAGUCAACACAGACUAAACAGGCUCACUGCAUCGUCACCAGGCCUAUGAUUCAGACACCCAAGAGUUAAACGCUCAGCCUCACUAGGCGCAGAGAGCUGUAUGGGAGGAGGCCAGAAAGGCACUGAAAUCCAUUCUUCCAUGUGAUUGGUUGGCUCUCAAAGGGGUGGGAAGAGAAAGAGGGAGAAGAAUGUCACCGGAUCCCCAUGGGUAAACAACAGCAGGAGCAUCUGCUCUGAUUUUCAACUAAAUUUGUGAAAUAUUUCUAAAUACCUGACACCAAUCUUGAAAGACGGUAACUUCUAACCCUCAUCAAAAAGAGAACCCUUGUUCUUCAAGAUUCUUAGUAACUCAUGCUGGUUUCUCUAGCACAAAAUAAGUACCCAAUGCUUGCUUGUACCCUGGGUGCUAGAUAUCCCAACCUCCGCCACACUCUUCCUCUUGGCAUUACAAAGAGAACCCAGCCUGCUGACUUCUACUCUCCCACUUUUUCAAACUCUGCUGUUUUGGAAAAGAUGGAACUAUUCAAUCACAUUCCCCCUGAAUUUUUCUCCACCCUCUUUAAGAGGGGCCCUUUCCUUUAAGGGGGGGGGGGGUCUUGUUUCACGAUGUAACUCUUCUGUAAUUAUGUUAGCACACAUGUGCAAAACAAGGGGAAAGGCGGGCUUGGUUUAUGGGGAGAAACCCAAUACCUGGCCAAGUCCACUGGGAGGUCAACCAAUUAUUAAUCCAGGACAGGGCCACUUAACUGAAGUAGUCAAGGCAAGCCUUCAGUCCUGGCAAUGCUCUCUGUCCCUAGGCGCGGGUACAGAAUGGGUGCCUUUCCUCAAAAUCUUAUUACUCCCAACAACUCUUUUCUGCUCAGCAGUUUCUCCCAUUUCAAGGCUUCACACAAAAAUCAGUUCUGUGCAAGGAAUGAGAGGCAGCCAUUCGGCCCCAGAAGACCCACAGGACUAGACAGCAAGGAGACAUGAAAACUGCAUUACCUUUGUUCUCACAGCCACAAAGACGCCCAUAAUGCACAUGAGGGCGAGGCCAAAACGGCAGAGAAAGUUUCCUGCUGAGAGGUUAAAGCCUGGGCACCUUUAAUGCCCCAUGUCAGUGCCCCAGAACCAGAACUGAGCCAAACCCUCCCCAGGCUCAUCCUAAACAAUCUGGAGUUGCUGGAAAGACCCAUCUGUGGAACCAUGGAGUCUCCAUGACUGACCUGAAACCACUCUAGACCCAAAGGGCAAAGAUCCCUCAGCACCGGGCCAAGAACUCAUCAGAUCCAGGAAAUAAGUGGCAGUGGUUCCCUAUGUCCUCACUCUAUAAUCCCAAAGUCAAGUUUAAUCUGAACUAUGCUAAAUGCCUUUUGUUAACACAGAUGUCUCACUUAUAAAUCCCAGGAAACAUCAGUGACUCAGCCGUCUUACACAGGAACGAUCAGAAAUUAAGUAUUCAAACAGGACUCCCAUAGCACAAGAAAUAAAAGCAAGAAUCAAUAACUGGGAUAGAGUCAUACUAAAAAGCUUUCUCUCAGCAAAGGAAACUAUCAGCAAUGUGAAAAGAGAACCUACA